rnacentral:snoRNA from 1 species
CUCCAUUGAAGAGUUUUUGUGAUCUUCUACAGUCACGAGUGGGCUGUGGCAGUCUCCCUUCCCAGCCAGGGAAGAACAUGUUCUUGUUUAUUGGCAAAGCUGUCAGCGUUUAAUUGGUAUCAGAUUCUGACUUGCAUAAGUAACAGUC